rnacentral:ribozyme from 1 species
GGGGAGCAAUAUACUCCCCAAUGUAAUGCAGCUUGUAUUCAGUUUUGAUAUACAAACGGUGACAAGCCCGUGUAAAUGCAGAGUCGAAG